rnacentral:rRNA from 1 species
GGCUCUUUGGUAAUGUAGAUAAAGAGUCGGACCUGCCCAGUGAAAAUUUUUAACGGCCGCGGUACUCUGACCGUGCAAAGGUAGCAUAAUCAUUUGCCUUAUAAUUGAAGGCUUGUAUGAAUGGUUUGACAAGAAUAUAGCUGUCUCUAUACGAUUUUGUAGAAUUUUAUUUUAAAGUGAAGAAGCUUGAAUAAAAUUGAUAGACAAGAAGACCCUAUCGAGCUUGAAAAAAGAUUAUGGAUGUUUUAAAAUAUAUCUAAAAAAUUAUCUGUGAUAAAUUUUGGUUGGGGCGACUUAGGAACAAAUUAAGCUUCCUAAAUUUACUUAAUACAGACAAAAUGAUCCAAAAAAUUUUGAUUAAUGAAAUUAGUUACCGUAGGGAUAACAGCAUUAUCUUCUUUAAGAGUUCUUAUCGAAAAGAGGGUUUGUGACCUCGAUGUUGGACCAGAAUAUCCUAAAGAUGCAGCAGUCUUUAAGGGUUGGUCUGUUCGACCAUUAAAAUUCUACGUGAUCUGAGUUCAGACCGGCGUGAGCCAGGUCAGUUUCUAUCUUUAAUUUAAAUUAUAAAUUUAGUACGAAAGGACCAAUUUAUUAUAAUUUGUUGUGCUGGAAGAUACAAUUUAAUGAAGGUUAUUAUCAAAUUAGCAAAAUGAAUGCAAUUGACUUAGGAUCAAUAGAUAUAGGUGAAAUUCCUUUAUUUGAUAAUAAAGAUGGCAGAUGAA